rnacentral:lncRNA from 1 species
UUUAAUUUGUUUUGCUUAGAUAGUAUGCUUUGAAAGCCUAAUUAGUUGUUAAGCAAACGAUGAAAAACACAACAUUUAAAUUGCAUUGCUCCGUCAAACUCGGUUCGAGAAACCCCGCAAAGCCUUGCUAUGCCACCACAUUCAGCCGACGUACAUUGCAAUCAUUCAAUGACGAUCAUUAACCGGCCAGCAGAGUCAGUGAACACGAUCACGCUGGGAGAAACUGGGGAGAUAAUCGGUAUCAGUACACAUACUCGAACAGCCAUCACCUCAACCAGAGGCAGCUACCACACUAGGAGAUCAUACCGUGGACAAGUGAGAAGCGUCGCCACCACCACAUGAGAGCACGAGAGAAAGAAUGGAGCGAAAGAUCCGUCGGCAUCAUCAUGCUGGAGAAGUUAAGUUCAACACGGCACGCACACCAUUAAAGCUCGCCGGCAGAACAAGUGAACGAUCGCAAAGGAGUGGAGUUUAAUUGUCUUCCAUCUGUAAGCCAAACCGCGUGUGCCGUUCAGUCGGCGGUGAGAAUUUCCAUUUCGGAAUUGAACAAAGUGCGUUCGUUAGAAAACCCCUCGAAGACGGCCCACUGGAUUAGCUGAUCUUAUUCUCGACCGGUGAGCAGGUGUAACACCCGGAAACCAGCGCAAGAAAUCGAUUGGCCAGAGGGAAGAACAACAGGCCAAAAGAAGCUAAAUCCGCGUGUGCUUUCCAAGAAGGAGGGAUUCGUCGAAAAACCAGACCGUCUGGAUUGUCGGCCGCCAUUGCCGAAAAUCAUUCCCGAUUGGAAAUAGAUGACUGUCCACGCACGGACUCUGGAUUAAACACGCUAGGUGGAGACAAUCGUGUGAAGAGCAGGAGAAAGUCGAGAAUCAUCACCGGCCAAGCCGAAAGCCAACUCGAUCGCCAGAACCAUCCCGACAGAAGCGACUUAGACCGGAUCACGUCGCAGAGCAGAGAGCCCCUCUAGAAGGGGCUCUUUUCUUUCUUGCAGUUUUGCGCACUCAACGUGCCUAGAGGACGAGACAGGUCGCAGGGUCGCGGCGUCGUAAAUCGAACAUUCCGUUCGCAAUAUCACCCACCCCACACACGAAGAGCAGUCGCGCCAAGCAAGGCGCGCAGCAAAGAGGAUUUCCGUAGCGGAGUUGCCACGACAUUCAGGCGAGACGCGUAAUACGGAGGUUUGCUGUACCGGAGGAGUUUUGAUCGGGGGUGUGCCUAUCGAAAGGUGGUGGAUAUGUUGGCUAGGAAGGCGGCAGCUGUGCAGCAUCAACAGGACCGGUGCAAGGCUUCCCUGGAAGACUAUCCGGUGGCGUGAGAGCAUGCAGAAUCAGUGAGUCCUAGAGUUUAAGAGCAAUGCAUAUUAGCUUUUAAGAAUCCUAGUGCAGGAUAGCGUAGGAGGUCUCAGGACCGAGAAUAGGAGGCCAGGACAGGCAAAAUGUUGAAUAUACGCAUUUAAAAUGAA